rnacentral:rRNA from 1 species
GACGAACGCUGGCGGCGUGCUUAACACAUGCAAGUCGAACGGAAAGGCCCUGCUUUUGUGGGGUGCUCGAGUGGCGAACGGGUGAGUAACACGUGAGUAACCUGCCCUUGACUUUGGGAUAACUUCAGGAAACUGGGGCUAAUACCGGAUAGGAGCUCCUGCUGCAUGGUGGGGGUUGGAAAGUUUCGGCGGUUGGGGAUGGACUCGCGGCUUAUCAGCUUGUUGGUGGGGUAGUGGCUUACCAAGGCUUUGACGGGUAGCCGGCCUGAGAGGGUGACCGGCCACAUUGGGACUGAGAUACGGCCCAGACUCCUACGGGAGGCAGCAGUGGGGAAUAUUGCACAAUGGGCGGAAGCCUGAUGCAGCAACGCCGCGUGCGGGAUGACGGCUUUCGGGUUGUAAACCGCUUUCGCCUGUGAUGAAGCGUGAGUGACGGUAAUGGGUAAAGAAGCACCGGCUAACUACGUG